CGGGGUUAAAACCCGGUGUACGGUCAAGAGCGACUGCAGGCCCGAUGCGAACGGUCUCGCCGGUUGGUGUCUUAAAGUACGUUUUGCACAGUAACAGGUGACACACAGGAAGCAAGAGGGGGAAUCUAUUUGUUGGAGCAUCUCUGGGCCUUUGUUGGUGGUCAUUUCCUGUUUGACCAGAGGAGGGCACUCUCUGCUCUCUGUACUGGCUGCUGAACCUGGUGGAGGAGUGCGAUAACACUCUCUGGGAGCAGGGUUGUCUUCUGUCAACAAAGGUACUCGGUCAUCUGACCUCAACCCAACUGAGCAUCCUUUUCCCUUACUGAAGCUAAAACUGAAGGCAAAAAGACCCACAAACAAGCAGCAACUGAAGGCAGCUGCAGUAAAGGCCUGGCAAAGCAUAUCAAGGGAAGAAACUCAGCAUUUGGUGAUA